GACGAACGCUGGCGGCGCGCUUAACACAUGCAAGUCGAACGGAAAGGCCCUGCUUUUGUGGGGUGCUCGAGUGGCGAACGGGUGAGUAACACGUGAGUAACCUGCCCUUGACUUUGGGAUAACUUCAGGAAACUGGGGCUAAUACCGGAUAGGAGCCCCUGCUGCAUGGUGGGGGUUGGAAAGUUUCGGCGGUUGGGGAUGGACUCGCGGCUUAUCAGCUUGUUGGUGGGGUAGUGGCUUACCAAGGCUUUGACGGGUAGCCGGCCUGAGAGGGUGACCGGCCACAUUGGGACUGAGAUACGGCCCAGACUCCUACGGGAGGCAGCAGUGGGGAAUAUUGCACAAUGGGCGGAAGCCUGAUGCAGCAACGCCGCGUGCGGGAUGACGGCCUUCGGGCUGUAAACCGCUUUCGCCUGUGACGAAGCGUGAGUGACGGUAAUGGGUAAAGAAGCACCGGCUAACUACAUG
rnacentral:rRNA from 1 species